rnacentral:lncRNA from 1 species
GCUGAUAGAGUUCUCGAUCAUGAUAAAGAUUUAAAGAGAGAUUUCUAGACUGAUCUAGAUAGUCUAAAUGUAAUCCGAUGGUCAGAAAAUUAAGAUACAGGUAUACUACAAAUUCUAAGGGUUUUAGGACUCUUUUGCUACCAGAAAAAGGUAAAAAAUUCACCUAUAAAUAGGAGGUCCAGGAAUAAGAGAAAAGAAAAGAGAAAAAUAAUAAAAAAAUAAAAAAAAUAAAGAGAUUUAGAGACCCAAGGGGAAGAAGAAGAGAAGCCGGUUCGCUCUAUAGAGUACGAAGAAAGAAGGAGAGGUCAUCAACCAUUUUCUCGAAGA